ACCUGCAUCGAAAGUGAUUGUGGUUUGAUCGGUGGCCUAGUCAUUGAUACUGCAGGGAAAGCAAACCAUGAAAGAUUUUCCCGUGUUUGGUUGUAACUUGUACAUUCCAAACCCUGUUCCUUUCAAACA